rnacentral:tRNA from 1 species
AGAUGGUUAGUUAAAAUAAUAACACUAAUCUGUCAAAUUAAAGUCGCCCCUAAAGGCACCAUCUU